rnacentral:lncRNA from 1 species
GGCUUGCAGACGCGGCAAGGAUUCGACGCUGGGAGGUUACACGGACACGGGAUGAGGGAUCGCAGGAGAAUUAGACUCGGAUGGGAGCUGGUAGCAGGGCUUGGAACGCGGGGGAAUCGCCACGAGAUGCGGAAGGGAAGAUCUGGACUCUGCUGUGAACUGGGACGCGGGAGAUGCGCUGGAUGGUUGCGGACGCUGGCGAGAUCUGAUCGUGAACGGAAGGAGGUUUGGAGCUGGGAUGCGUGGACUGCGAGGAAGACGGAAGAGCUGGGACGCGU